rnacentral:rRNA from 1 species
GAUGAACGCUGGCGGCGUGCCUAAUACAUGCAAGUAGAACGCUGAAGGAGGAGCUUGCUCUUCUGGAUGAGUUGCGAACGGGUGAGUAACGCGUAGGUAACCUGCCUGGUAGCGGGGGAUAACUAUUGGAAACGAUAGCUAAUACCGCAUGACAACAGUUAUUGCAUGAUAACUGUUGAAAAGGGGCAACUGCUCCACUACCAGAUGGACCUGCGUUGUAUUAGCUAGUUGGUGAGGUAACGGCUCACCAAGGCGACGAGACAUAGCCGAGCUGAGAGGGUGAUCGGCCAAACUGGGACUGGGACACGGGCCAGACUUCUACGGGAGGCAGCAGUAGGGAAUCAUCGGCAAUGGACGGAAGGCUGACCGCGCAACGCCGCGUGGGUGAAGAAGGGUUUCGGAUCGGAAAGGUCUGUUGUGAGGGAAGAAAGAGUGUGAGAGUGGAAAGUUCACACUGUGACGGUAUCUUAACAGAAAGGGACGGCUAACUACGUG